GCUCCUUGGAGUUGAGCGGCGCGACGGUCCUGCAGCAGCUAGCCUGGGAUGUACCCACAGCUCACCGGGGAGUCCGGGCCACACGUCAGCUGGAUCUUGAAUGAGAUGAAGACGGGGAGAAAGGGCCUUCCGGACAAAGGGCUUACGCCCUGGAUAAAGGGCGUGGAGGGGCGUGGCACGUUCAGUCUGGACACAGCAUAAAGUGCAUUGGAGAGAGGCGGGAGACAGGAUGGAAAGGAGGGUGGGAAGAGCUAUGAAGCUCCCCAGGGCCUUGCUAACGCGUUUGGACUUUAUCCCGCGCCAGACUUUUUAAAGGUGGGCGGUGCUCCAGGUGUGAAUGGAGACGACUUCGAGCUCACUGUGCUGAGAAACUGCUUUUCAGAGGGCUUCUACAGAGCCCACAGCUCAUCUUCUAGAAGUCAUCUAUAGCUACUGUCAGUUUCUAGGCUUCCAAGGACACCCUUCAGCCUACUGCAAUGCAGCUUCUUACCCUACUCCUCCAUGGACAGAUGACAUCCAUUUCUGAAAUCCAGGGGCCACACUUCAAUCUAUCUCAUGAGGUAUCUCUGCUUGGUGGACACCGAUGUUCUCCCUUCCUGAAGACUCUGCUUCUCUGACUUCUGUGAGCAUAGCCUCUUCUGGUCACUCGUUCUCUGGCAUAGACUUCUUCUCUGUGGGCUGGCAGCGAACAGUGGGGCCUUCAGCAUCAUUAUUGCUCAGGUCAGUACAAAGGACCACAUAAGGGAGUAUGAUAGUGAGGAGCCAAGAUCACUCCACAUCUCGAGAAGAGAUGAUAGCAGCCUGGAAUGGUUUGGUGGCCAUGGGAAUAAAGAGAAAGGGACUGAUUUGACAGAUGUUUAAUGGGUAAACAUCACAGGAUUUGGCAAUUGGCUAUGGAAGAUAAAUGGGAGGAAGGAGUCUAGGAUGACUGUUGUGUUUCAUCUUGUUGGGGGGUGACUUGACUAGGCUGAUGACUUUGCUCAAUCCAAUAGGGGAUACAAAAACAGCAAAGACAUGAAAGAGAAGAUGAUGAUAGUGGUAUCCCAGAAAAUGAGAGGGUAACCAACAGCACCAAAAGUCAGGCAAUCAGAUAAACCAGUUUCUAAGCUGAGGAAGGGGAGUGACAAUUCUUUCAAGAAGAUUGUCCACAGAGAGAAACAAUAGGGUAAUAACCAGGAGUGCAGGGUUGAAGGGGCGUUUUUUGGCUGAGGGCAACGGACCAGUAGAGGCUGAGCAGCUGAAAGUACAGGUGCCAAGGGGGUGGCUGAAGGAGUAAGAUCCCAUUGAUGGGAUGAAGUGGGAUCAUAACAGAUGACAGGUUGAACAGAAAGGCUAUCUCCAUGCAUGAGGCAGCAGGAUGCAGAUGUACACACUCCCUUGGAGGCUCACAGUGGGAAGUGAAAGUUCCUGCAUUUUGAACUUUCCUCCCUCUGUGAAUUAGGAGGUGAGGUUAUCUAUUAGGCACGUGGGUGAGUAAGCAGUUGGAACCAAGUGGUGAAUGUUUAUAGAAGAGGGUUCUGACCAAAGACAAAGAUUGCUCAAUGGCACUGAGGUCCAACCGCAGUUGAAUGCCCUAGAUUCAUAACAGCCACAAUCUGUACACUUCUAUCAUUUUUAGUUGUUAUAUUCUACACCCCAAGCAGAUACACACAGGGAUAAACUGAGUCAGGCAAUUCAGGCUUGGAAGCUUGCAAAGCUGGUAGAGUUUGAGGAUGAGGGGUUUAAGGAGCUGAGGGCAUGAAUGAGAAGUCUGAGUUGACCACAGGGCACCAGUUGCAUAAGGUAGAGAAUGGGGUUAAAAAGGGAAAAACAAAAGAAAAAACCGGCUGGGCGUGGUGGCUUACACCUGUAAUCCCAGCAUUUUGAGAG
rnacentral:lncRNA from 1 species